AUACAACGGCAAUUGGCUGUCGGCUAGUGAGCGGUAGUGAGUCCAUUGAUCUCCGUUUUCUUUUGAUUUGUUCUAAGUUUCAGCAGAUUAAGAAUCACCAAAGGCGAACACACUGCUCCUGUGCGUUCUUAAUUUCCAUUACAAAGCGUCCAACGGGCCCUUUUUUACGGGCAUAAAGCUCGUUAGUUUCCGCCAUCUUUUCGGCCACUAGCCGUACACUUUCGGUGUGGAUUACCGCUAGGUCCGUCAGUUUUCUGGUAGCUAAACGGGGAGAGAGGAAUAUUACUGGCCUGCUUGCGUUCGUUCGUGGACGACCUGGUAGAGUACCGGUCUCGCUGACACCCUCCCCCGCAACUCUAACUCGGCCUGUAAAGCGAUUAAUUCCCUGGCAACACCGACCGCCUCGAGGUAUCCGGGCUCGACCGCCCCUGGUGACCAGAACAGCUACACCGUCUCACCACAGGUCAUCGAACGCUAUCCGUGCACCCCCGG